UACGGGGGGUGCGAGCGUUGUCCGGAAUCACUGGGCGUAAAGGGCGCGUAGGUGGUCUGAUAAGGGUGUGGUGAAAGCCCGGGGCUCAACCCCGGGUCGGCCGUGCCGACUGUUGGACUAGAGUGCUGUAGGGGCAGGCGGAAUUCCGGGUGUAGCGGUGGAAUGCGUAGAGAUCCGGAGGAAGGCCGGUGGCGAAGGCGGCCUGCUGGGCAGUUACUGACACUGAGGCGCGACAGCGUGGGGAGCAAACAGG
rnacentral:rRNA from 1 species